rnacentral:rRNA from 1 species
CUACGGGCCGCAGCAGUGGGGAAUAUUGGACAAUGGGCACAAGCCUGAUCCAGCAAUGCCGCGUGUGUGAAGAAGGCCUUCGGGUUGUAAAGCACUUUUGUUAGGGAGGAAAGUCUGGUAGCUAAUAACUGCUAGAUCUGACGUUACCUAAAGAAUCAGCACCGGCUAACUCGGUGCCAGCAGCCGCGGUAAUACAGAGGGUGCAAGCGUUAAUCGGAAUUACUGGGCGUAAAGGGUCUGUAGGCGGAUUAUUAAGUCGGAUGUGAAAUCCCCGGGCUCAACCUGGGAACGGCAUUCGAUACUGGUAGUCUAGAGUGUGCAAGAGGAGGGGGGAAUUCCUGGUGUAGCAGUGAAAUGCGUAGAGAUCAGGAGGAACAUCAAUGGCGAAGGCACCUUUCUGGGGCAACACUGACGCUGAGAGACGAAAGCGUGGGGAGCAAACAGGAUUAGAUACCCCCGUAGUC